rnacentral:rRNA from 1 species
AUGUGCUGGCCUCCGCCGUCUCUAUGGCCAGAGCCUCAACCCGUUGUACCUUGCCCCUUUUGCCACGGAGGCGCCGAGAGCCGCCAGCGUCAGGCCGGCCCUGCAAUUGCCAUCGAGUCACCGCCGCGAACUCGCCGUGAGUCACCAAGAUGCCUCCGCUGGCACUGUCAGGCCGCCUUGCCUCACCACGGCCUCUAUGGCCCUGCGCUAAGUCGCCGGUCUUUGUUGUUCAAGCCGGGAUUCGUUCCUCUGCUCCGGGUCAACUCCACUCCGAACCGCCCCUACCGCUACGUCACUCGCAUCUGA